rnacentral:misc_RNA from 1 species
UCGAAUAAAAAAACCUCCAUUUUAGAUUUAACACUUCUAUUAAACACACUCAAGACCUGAAGUUUGGAUCUGUUUAAUUUAAAAUUUAAUUGUGAUAAAUAAAAUUUUUAACAUCAGAAUUUAGUUUUUCACGUCUUAAAUACUCGUUACAAUAAGUACACACAAUGUCGCGUUAUCGCGAGUGGGAUUUAUCAUGCAAAGUGUACGUCGGUGAUUUAGGCAGCAGUGCUAGCAAGCAUGAGAUUGAGAAUGCAUUCAGUAAAUACGGACCCCUUAGGAAUGUUUGGGUGGCUAGGAAUCCACCGGGCUUCGCUUUUGUUGAGUUCGAGGACCCUAGAGAUGCUGAAGAUGCUGUUCGAGGCCUUCAUGGAACGAGAUGCUGUGGCACAAGAGUAAGAGUCGAAAUGUCAUCAGGAAGAAGUCGCCGUGGAGGCGGAGGAGGUCGUAGACCGGGUCCACGUUACUCUAGGUCGCGAUCCCGCAGUCCUCGUAGAAAAUCAAUUGGCCGGUACCCCAGGUCGCUGUCCAAGAGCCCAAAGAGAUCCCCAGUCACAAGAUACUCCAGAUUCUACCAGUGUCAACUCCUAGUUCUACUCGUCUCCCCGCCACUACUACUACUACUUCUACUACAGCCACCGUGAACAAUAAAGCCUAUCAAUCGAAACAGAACUUAAAAAUAAAAAAACUAAACAAAUGAGUUUAAGUAAAAGCUAAACAAAAAAAAUCUAAUAGAAUAAAUAAAAAAUAGCCUGCCUGCCCACUAACUUCCCACCAGUCACCAUCAGCCACCAACCAAGCCACCGAUAGCAGCCAGUCGUCCGUCAGAUCAGUCAGUCAGUCAGUCAGACAGUCCGUUGCUGUCCGUCAGAGUACGUCAAUUACCCUUCAAUAAGCCAACUUCGGGCUACCGCAACUCUUCUAAGUCGUCUAGGAGCAUCGUUAUCCAUCAAUCAGUCAAUCAAUCAGACAAGCCAACGCGAUAUGAAUGCUAAGAUCAAAAUAUUCAGCGCGUAUCGUCCCAACUUCUACUACUACUACUACUAUUACUGCUACCGUCAACCGCAGCAUUUUAUUAGCUGAAUAACAAACAAUAUAUCUAUAUCACUGCGACCGCAUCCAAACGUCGGCGAUCGAGCAAUGCAAUAAUGAUCACCUACACAACCAUCCUAAAUUUUCACCCAACCAAGUACCACCAACCAUCACCACCAACCACCAAUACUACUACUACUACCACCACUACCACAUGCUCACAGUUGUUUUGGGUCACGGUCCCGCAGUCCUCGCAGAAGAUCUUUGACACGCAGUCGUAGCCGAGACCGUCGUUCCCGCUCGGAGUCUCGCGACAGACGUUAAGUGCUAUCAUCGAUCAAUAAUAAAGGACGGAUUAAAAUUGCAAUUAUCAAUUAAAUUAAUUGAUUAAUUAAUUAUUAUAUAUAAUACGCUCACGUUUGUGUAUUUAAGCUCACUACGUAUCACAUUAAUUAUAAAUAACAAAAACAAUAAUUACGAUAUUAAAACUGUGUGUUAAUAAUUACGAUUUUAUUAUACAAGGUACAGCGAUUUUUCCAUAUGUUUAAAAUCAGUAGCUUCGAUUAGAUUUGUACAUUUUUUUUUUUUUACGUAUUUGUGAGCUUAUUUUUUUAUUGCCGUAGGGUCUGACUAAAUAAUUAUACAUAAUUUGGCUUUACUUUUACGCGGACAGAGAAAUUAUUUUUCUUCUUUCAUAACAGUUGAUCAGUCUUAUAUUGUGGUAUUAACUUGUAUUAUUUUGUAUUCUAUCAGUUAAGGAUAUUCCAAUAAAAAAUUGCUUAUAUGUA